rnacentral:rRNA from 1 species
UACGAGAGGCGCAAACGUUAUUCGGAUUUACUGGGCUUAAAGAGUUCGUAGGCGGCGCAGAAAGUAGGGUGUGAAAGCCCUCGGCUCAACCGAGGAAUUGCGCUCUAAACUACUGUGCUUGAGGAACCUAGAGGUGAGCAGAACUGAUGGUGGAGCGGUGAAAUGCGUUGAUAUCAUCAGGAAUACCGGAGGCGAAGGCGGCUCACUGGGGGUUUCUGACGCUGAGGAACGAAAGCCAGGGGAGCGAACGGG